rfam:Alligator mississippiensis ScZkoYb_5, whole genome shotgun sequence.
CCAAAGGCUCUUUUCAGAGCCGCUCAAUCCCCACUCAAAGGUGCUGG